rnacentral:rRNA from 1 species
GUGUCAGCAGCCGCGGUAAUACGGAGGAUCCGAGCGUUAUCCGGAAUUAUUGGGUUUAAAGGGUCCGUAGGCGGCCUUGUAAGUCGGGGGUGAAAUCUCUUAGCUCAACUAAGAACUUGCCUUUGAUACUGCUUGGCUUGAAUCAUUAGGAAGUAACUAGAAUAUGUAGUGUAGCGGUGAAAUGCUUAGAUAUUACAUGGAAUACCGAUUGCGAAGGCAGGUUACUACUAAUGUAUUGACGCUGAUGGACGAAAGCGUGGGUAGCGAACAGGAUUAGAUACCCUGGUAGUCCACGCCGUAAACGAUGGAUACUAGCUGUUCGAUUUUCGGAUUGAGUGGCUAAGCGAAAGUGAUAAGUAUCCCACCUGGGGAGUACGUUCGCAAGAAUGAA